rnacentral:rRNA from 1 species
GAUGAACGCUGGCGGCGUGCCUAAUACAUGCAAGUCGAGCGAACGGACGAGAAGCCUGCUUCUCUGAUGUUAGCGGCAGACGGGUGAGUAACACGUGGAUAACCUACCUAUAAGACUGGGAUAACUUCGGGAAACCGGAGCUAAUACCGGAUAAUAUUCUGAACCGCAUGGUUCAAAAGUGAAAGACGGUCUUGCUGUCACUUAUAGAUGGAUCCGCGCUGCAUUAGCUAGUUGGUAAGGUAACGGCUUACCAAGGCAACGAUGCAUAGCCGACCUGAGAGGGUGAUCAGCCACACUGGAACUGAGACACGGUCCAGACUCCUACGGGAGGCAGCAGUGGGGAAUCUUCCGCAAUGGGCGAAAGCCUGACGGAGCAACGCCGCGUGAGUGAUGAAGGUCUUCGGGUCGUAAAACUCUGUUAUUAGGGAAGAACAUAUGUGUAAGUAACUGUGCACAUCUUGACGUUACCUAAUCAGAAAGCCACGGCUAACUACGUG